rnacentral:lncRNA from 1 species
UCAUUCAUUCAUUCAAGAAAUACAAUUUUAGACCCACCCAACAAAACAAGAAGAAGAAUAGAAACAGAAUUUGUUAACAACUCUAAAGUCAGGUCGGAUGAAAUCAACAUUUUAAGUAGCUUAAUUUUUCUAUGACCACUUCCAUGCUUGUCUUCCAGUGUUAGUGUACUAACAGAAGCAAUCAGGUAAGUAUGGAUGUUUUGUUGCGGUGAGAGUGAAACCUGUAAUAGUUGCUAACGGGGAGUGAUUUACACCUUCCAGUUUGGACAUAAUUUGCUGAGAGUAAUAAAUUUGCAGACAACGAACAUGUUGAAGCUAAGAAAGGUUGCAUUUUGCGGUUAUUUGUGCUU